rnacentral:rRNA from 1 species
AUUGAACGCUGGCGGCAGGCCUAACACAUGCAAGUCGAACGGUAGCACAGAGGAGCGUGCUCCUUGGCUGACGAGUGGCGGACGGGUGAGUAAUGUCUUGGGGACUGCACGAUGGAGGGGGAUAACUACUGGAAACGGUAGCUAAUACCGCAUAACGUCGCAAGACCAACAUGGGGGACCUUCCGGCCUCUUGCCAUCGUAUGUGCCCAGAUGGGAUUAGCUAGUAGGUGGGGUAACGGCUCACCUAGGCGACGAUCCCUAGCUGGUCUGAGAGGAUGACCGUCCACAAUGGAAAUGAGACACGGUCCAGACUCCUACGGGAGGCAGCAGUGGGGAAUAUUGCACAAUGGGCGCAAGCCUGAUGCAGCCAUGCCGCGUGUAUGAAGAAGGCCUUCGGGUUGUAAAGUACUUUCAGCGAGGAGGAAGGCGUUGUGGUUAAUAACCGCAGCGAUUGACGUUACUCGCAGAAGAAGCACCGGCUAACUCCGUGCCAGCCGCCGCGGUAA